rnacentral:misc_RNA from 1 species
CACAUUUGCCUACAACAACGUGAACCAACAGAAGGAGAUCGCAGACCAGGGCGGUGUCCGAUUUAACUGCUUCUGUCCAUUCCUUCAGUCGGAAGAUGAAUACUACAGGUGCUUGGCAGCAUUUCAGGAGUACCCGCAGCCAUGAUUUCCAUUAAUGUAAUAGAACAUCUAUGUAAACUGUUGGUGUCUACAGCGGAACAAGUGAGGGGCUCGGCAGCCAUUGCCCUGGGGUAUCUCUCUUACAACCACACGGGGGAGAGACAGCUUCUUAACAAGUGUCGUACUGACCCCUAUUUAAUGAGGAUUCUCCUUCACUACACCAAGAGGAGCAAGAUCAGUCCCUGUUUCCUGGAGGCAUGGCAACAUUACAAAAAAGUGGGACUCCCUCCAAUACCUGAAGGAAGAACCAACCUGAUAGGAAAUCAUCCCUUAGGAAUGGACGGUAACCGCCCAGUCACUUUCCUCAGUAUUGACCCCGAAGGAGAAACUGGUAGCAACACUCGAAGUUCGACCUCAAACAUUGGGGGAGAGGACGGAAGGAUCACUGGGCGAUCCUCUCGAGCCUCUGGGUCAAGACAGGCCACCACCCCCAGGCAGUCAGGGACCCCACUCAAUGCCACCACACCCCUAAAUGCCAGCCAGAUUUCUUUGGACUCCCAGCAUUCCUCACGAUCUUUACUUCCUGUUACAGCUGAAGGAAAUGCAUAACAUGUCUUGUGAAACCAUGCAUCACCCUCCCCCUUUCCCCCAAAAAGACUGUGCCUGUGCUCCCUCCCCCUUUUCCCAAAGAAAAAAGGGCUGAUGAAUUUCAUUGCAGCAGGCUUUCACUAGUCAUCAUUUUGUAGAUCAUUUGAUAAUUCCUAAUCAUUUCCAUUGAUCAAUUUUCAGGAUGAUACAUGUACAGAGUAUAACUGUCACAGUGAACCAUUGUGUUUCUUGCUUUAACAGGCUUUUCACCGGCUUAUGUUUCUCAGACUUCUUAGCUGCCAUGUUCUUAUUUACUCCUAUGAUUGUAAUUUACAGUACUUUGAAAGUGAACCAUAUUUACUUGCAUAUAUUUUUCUUUCUAAGCAAUUUUACACAGAUACAUGUAUAUGUACAUAUGUUUCUCUCCUCAAGUUCAUGUUCUCUCCCAAUACUCUGUUGAAAAAAAGUUGAGUUAUAUGCAUUUUUUGAAAAUGUAAAGCAGCAUACAUAAAUAGCAUAAAUUUAAUAAAUCCUUCUGUCUCCAUCCUACACCCAAUUGUCAAUUUUAAGAACACCAUACCACCCCAAGACAUUUUUUUCAAAACUAUAUUUUUUCUUGUUUUAAUCCAUGUACUAAACUAGCUGUAGUAGGAAUUUUUCCAGAAUUGUUAACAUACUGACCAUGGAGUAAUUUGGUGGGUUUAGUGCUUGCACCGUUAGUGAUUUUUUUGGUGAUUAUUUUUAGUGUGUAUUUUUCUUUUAAGAGAACUGUCAAUGCAUGCUACAUGUAUGCUGCAACUGGCAAAGAGAAGCAGAUCUGUGAUAUUAUUUAACUGUAUAGCUUGGUUUGAGGUUUGUGUUUGUUGUGACUGCAAUAUUUAAUAUUUAUUGAUAAAUCUAAAAUACAUGUAUUUUACACAUUCUACAUUUGGUAAAUACAUGCAAUAUUAUAUAUUUCUGGUCUCUUUUAAAUUCAUUAAAAUCUCAUCCUGCUUUUUUUUUUUUACACUGUUUUUCUCAUAGUUGUUGAAUUUUAGAUUAUAUAAAAUUUCAUUUCAUAGAAUUUAUUUCAUAACUCUGAUUUGGGUCUUUUGUAUGUACCAUCUUUUAGUAACAAGAACAUGACUUUGUGCCAAAUACGGAAAAACAUUGUGUACUGGUAUUUUACCUAUCAAAUUGUGUUUACCAGUAAGAGUAGGGGAAAACUGUAAUUGUUUAAGAGUAAUCUCUGUCAGACACUUUCUUCUCAUUCUUUAUAUCUCUUGAUUUAAUUUGUAAUGAGGAUAUGUUGGUAUGAUAUAUAUUGACAAUAAACAUAAUUUUGCCAUCAG